rnacentral:rRNA from 1 species
UACGUAGGUGGCAAGCGUUAUCCGGAAUUAUUGGGUGUAAAGAGCGCGCAGGUGGUUGAUUAAGUCUGAUGUGAAAGCCCACGGCUUAACCGUGGAGGGUCAUUGGAAACUGGUCGACUUGAGUGCAGAAGAGGGAAGUGGAAUUCCUAGUGUAGCGGUGAAAUGCGUAGAUAUUAGGAGGAAUACCAGUGGCGAAGGCGACUUUCUGGACUUAUACUGACACUGAGGAACGAAAGACGUGGGGAGGCAAACAGGAUUAGAUACCCCUCGUAGU